GGGAAAAGCUGAAAGGGAAAGAAGAAGAAGUAGCGUACGGCUGAAGCCCCAAAUAAUGAGAAACGCUCAAGAUUUAACGGUUUUAAUGGAAGGUAAAGAAAGUCUCAGGCUGACAGAAAUGGCAGGGAGGUCCUCCAGUCAGCAGAUGGCAGUCUCAGAGCUAGGCAGAAGCACAACAUGAGUUAGAUUUGGAACAGGAAGAAGGGGAAAUUCAGCUGGAAGUCUGUAAUGCAGCUCAUAUGAAAUUUUAGGGCUUCUGUAGCUCCAAAAGGGAGAGACACAACAAGGUUCAUUGGGAGGAGAUGAGAGGCUGCUGGAGGAGGAAGACUGCACGGCAACAGGAGAUCCACAAUUGGUGAGGAACCAGCCAUCCUCUGGGACUCCAAAAACAGCAAAAAGAUCUGGCAAGGAAGCACCAUAAACCAGCUCCAGGGAAAAACUAACUCAGGUCAGGUCCAAAAACAGGUGAAAAUAUCAGGCAAUAACACAGGAGCCUGGCUGGAGGUAAUAGAAGACUCAGCACACUCUGGCAGUAGAGACCAGUCAGAAGCAGAAUAUACAGGAGGUGCCACAGGUGUAGAGAAUUACUAACCAGGAGGGUGAGGCUGGAGGCACAAUCCUGACAAGACGUGUGCUUGCUCUCAGCUAACGUGAUCAUUCAGAUCCUAUCAAGCGCUCAAUAGGAGGUACAAAUGCAUGAAACCUUUGCCCACUCAGCGAAUCUGGCCUGGAAAGGAUGAAGCAUCAACGUUUAACACUUUUGAAAGCAGCUUGCAGCUCCUCACAACGCCAACCCAAAAUUAGCGGUGCAUGAAAGAUGGUGGAUCCAUCAGAAUGUAGCGGAGCUGAGAGACUGUGGCCCGCCAUUGUAGGUCCUACAUUACAACUACAAGCAUUGUUCAACAGCACUUGUUGAAAUACACACUUUUUAAAAUAAA